CAAGUUAUAUGCAAGUUAUACGUCAUUCUUAAUACCGUCGAAGGAAGUAUCGGUUUCGGUUUCGGUUUCGGUUUCAGAUCUAUAUUAUGAGCAUGGUUCUGGUGGUGGAAGAGAAGUUACGGCGCCGGAGAAGAUUACGACGUCGGAAAAGGGACAGGGUAAAGGUUCCUACGGCGGCGCAAACAUAGCUCACCGCCGGCCCGGCCAGAAAAGUGCUGCAGUUUUGUAUGCGCCUUGUUUCUUCACUGUUGUUGGUUUCAGCUUCUCUCUGCUUCUUGCUUAGUUCUUCUGCUUUGUAUUAUUAUUAUUAUUUUUAUUAAUUUAUUUUUCCUUCUUUUGUAUUAUUAUGUUUUUGUUGCGUGUUUGGGUUUUGAAUUUUUUUAUGGAUUUGAUAAACGUGUGGUACUGAAAAUUGCAUCAAUUUUGCACUAUCUAGUACUUCAUU